rnacentral:lncRNA from 1 species
AGACUUUGAAUUGAAAAAUGAAAAUUAGUUUUUUUUUCUGUGCUACAAAAAUGGGCGGAGACUGCAAGCAAGAGGGAAUGAAGCGACUCGAGUCACGAAGAGUCCUGUGACUUGCGAGAGGUGACAUGUAACUAUGAGAAAUUGAAAUAUUUGAUUAUCGAGUAAAUAACAUUGAGUUCCCUAUAUUUUUAUUUUUAGUAAAUAACGAUACAUUAGUUUCAGUUUAUUUCAAAUAGGUUCCUCAUCCUUUGCCAGUGACCAAGUUGUGCAACCCUAACAUCCACAGCACCUCUUUUCGCUUCAAUCAUGACCGGAGCAUCAGAGCUUGAGUCUAUCCUUUUAUGUUCAUCUCCGUCUUGUUCUUCAUCCAUUUUUGCAUCUUCUACAUGAAUGGCUUCUGGUUCUUUGGUUUGAUUUUCUUCUGUGCUGCCUUUUGGUUCUCUCCCUUCGCCGACUUGUUCAGCCACUUUCGUAGUUUCAAUUCUGGAGCUCUGAAGGGGGCCAGUCAAUGAAGCUGUAGCUGAGUCCAUCAAUGCUGAUUCCUCAGUUUUUAUUUCCCCUGAUUCUUGUGGUUGUUGCUCUCCUUCGAGGUUAAUCUUUGCUUUUUGUGGAGUUUCUGUGGUUCCUUAUUGCUCAAAAAUUUUUGGCGCAAACUCAUCUCCAGUUUGAACUGGUGUGUAUGGGCGCUCAAUGAGAUCUGCUUCAGUUGUUGCAUAAGAGCUUUUCUCUAACUCACUAGUUUCUUGAAUGAUUUUGCUGUCUGUUGCAAACCCCCUUAUGCUUUCUUUUUGUGACAUCGCCAUACUCGAUUCUUGAUAAAAUUAAAAGUAAAGCUGCUCAAAUUGUGAAAAAUAAAAGAAAAACCGAAAUGUCUAAUUAAUAUCUGCAAGCAAAAUGGCUUUCAUAAUUUAGCUGCAUUCUUGUCCUACUAAGUUAUGUUU